UCCUGCCUUCAACUUCACCCUCGCUGCCGGGGCUCCACGGCUCUCACCGACCUGCCAUGGCAAAGCCACGCCCAGUGCCUCACCCAGCUGCUGCCGGGCAGGAAACACGGCGGGGAGAGGUAUCAAGAUUCUCGUUAACUUCGUUGCCGACAGCUGCGAUGCAAGCGGUCGGUGAUGCUGCGGAGUAAAGAUCCAUACACAGACGCUGUCACUCUGCAGCUCGCACAAGCCCUUCGCUGUGUUGAGAACAUCGUAUCACAGAAUCAUCAAGGUUGGAAAGGACCCUGAAGCUCCUCCAGUCCAACCCUUAACCUCACACUGACCGUUCCCAACU
rnacentral:lncRNA from 1 species